UUUUGGUCUAACACAGACAUUUCAGUGAAACUGUUUAUGUCAUGGUAUGAUUUCACUGGAAGUUGCUGUGCCACUUUUGUCUUUGCCACUUCCUCAGCACUCCCAGCUUCUCGGCAUUCACAUCAGAUUGUCACACAGGUUUCCAGUAGAUUUACUUCUAGGGUCUCUUAAACUGUAGAAUGAAUCUUCCAGUCUUUAAGAAUUACUUCAGUAGGUAUCUGAAAACUACAUGAGCUGACACAUGAAUGAUGUUUGUAACUCUGGGGGAGCACCUAGAAAAAAUAGCCAGCAACUUCACAGAGCCUAGCUGAUGUAGGUGCAAACUAAAUAUAUAAAUAUUUUUUCUUUUUAGUGAAGCUUGGUAUACCUGCUUGCUCUUGUGACUUGUCAGACAGAUCAGAAAUCUCCCAAUUUUUUUAGUUUUCAAUCUAGCCAGUACUGAUUUCUAGACUUUCAGCUUGGCAGUCUUGUGUUAAGAUCAUGUAAGUACAUCAGUUACAAGUGAAACUCCUUGCUGUCUCGAGGGGAAAGCCAUGGAAACAAUAAGGAGUUUGGAAAAAGCAGAGGAUUGUUCUAUUUGAUCACUGUUGUAUGCUGGAGUUCUGAGGUGGGACUUCUGUUGCUUUGUGUUCUUUGGCUGAUAAUACCUGGAGGCUGCUCUGGUUGAUACACUGAAGGUUUAGCAGCUUUUGGCUCUAAGGAGUGGGAAUAGAGGAUCUUGUCUGUGUGAAUCGCCGAUGCAAGACAUUGCUGAAGUCUUCUGAAAUCUGUUGGCUUUGGGAUGUGCUGAAUCCAGUGCAGAGGAUGUACCCUGAUCCUGGCUGGAGCAAGGGCACUGCAGUGGUGAAUCUCAGCUUUCUCCUCUAGCUGUGAAGUCUCUUAGGGUUGUUUGUCUCCUCAAUUCUUCAACCUCAACACAGCCUUAUUGCUGUUUAGUGGCCACCAUGAAAACUUAGAGUGCUUUGGAAGCCUUAGUGCUGUUGGUGAUUAUUAUAUAACAGCUACCUGGUACAGCCUGAAAUGCCUCACAUCCUUUUAUACUUUCUGUCCCAAAACCAUGUUUGCACUGGUCUGAGCUAGGACGAUGCAAAUUGGCAUUUGAAAGCCCUCUUCUUUAUCUUUUUAUCCUCCAGACAAGGUUAUUUGGUAGUAAAAUGAACUGAGAAAUGGAAGCUGAUGAGGAAAUCUUUCCUCUUGUUUGAGAGAGGAUCUGGUUAGUUAGUUUGGUUCAGCUUGGGUUCUAAGCUUUUUGGAGCAGGAACUUGUCCCUUUUGUUCAGCAGAUAAUGCUGUGGUCUGAGGGGGCCUUCUGGGGAUUUGUAACCCCAGGCAAUGGCAUGACACAAAUCACUGAAGUCCCUGCUCCCAGAAAUUCUCCCAUUUAAUGUCAGACUGAGCUCACCAGUUAAAUAUCUGCUUUCUAGUGUCUGUUUGUAACGUGGAGAGGAGAAUUGCUUUUCCAAUGCCAUUCUCUCAGAGUUGUGACUAGGCCUGUGUGAUGAAGGCUGUUUAGCUCAGAAGAACUGGUUGCUAAAAUUGGAGUCUGUUCUUUAAGUGGCUGUUAGGGUAAUUACUGCAAGUCCUGCUGGUAGUUCCAGAAUAUUCAGUGUGUUUCUUCUCUCAUCUAGGAUGUAUUCAACCAUUCUUUCUCUUUUUUUUUAUUUUAAUUUUUCAUAGAGUCAUGUGCUGUUUGUUCUCACUUCUCCCUGUAGAAUUGGUUGAUACUUACUUUUGAUGUGCUAGAAAUCUAGGUAGAAAUACUGUGUAUUACUUGCUUCUUUAAGCCAUCACCGUGCUUUGUGAGAUUUUUCUUGGUAUGGUGAUUCAAACAAUUCUCAAAUGCAUCACUUGCCAUAUCUUGUCUGAGAGAAGUCUGCAAUCUGAAUAAUAAAACAGCCAUGUGCCAGAUGCCCCAUUUAUACAGGUUAUUUGGGUAUUAAACACACAUUAUUCAAGUCAGUACCCUUCAGUUUACAUUUGCAGGUCAUCUCCAAGUGCUAACACAGCACAACAGCUGUUGACAAGUCCUUGUACAACUCUUAAUGCCAGAGGUCAAGUGUGCUGACUCAACCUCCUGAAAUUUAGCAUUUAUGUAUGCUGGGCCUCUGAGUCUUUAGCACUGGGUUUGAGGUGGGUACAAAUUAAGUGUAAUAGGUGUUUAAGGGGAGUGCUGAGAUUGCAAAGAAUUAAAGGAUUUGUUAGGCAGUGGUUUAGGGCUGAGCAUGGAGGUGAAUGCAGUCUGCAGUUCUGGAAGAUGCUCUGCUUUCCCAAGGGAUAUUUAAUUGCUUGGGAGCAGGAAGGCUCUAAAUGAAGGUAGAGGCUGAAGCAGUGAGGAUGAACUGGCUCCCACUUUCCUGAGCUCUCAGGAAAGGAAUAAGUGUGCCAUGGAUGUAAUGGAGAAGGACCAUCUUCUCUCUUUCCAUCACACUCCAGAGUGUUGAGGCUGCUGUUGAAGGCACGGACAUGAGAAAUUCUGCUUAAGUCUUGGUUUUCCAUUUUAAUUAGCUUUUUCUUUUUAAUAGUGCCAAUGCUGCUUCCCCAUGUAGCUGUGCCAGUCAGCACCACUUGCUUCUCUUCACAAGUCUCAAAUAUUGUGUAUGACAAAGCUCCUCUUACUCCCUGCAGGCACCCAAAUUAAUCCACCACCGCUGAUCUUUGUUAUGCUGUGACUCUCAAAGAGCUGUGUGCAGCUGAGGGAAGUUUGGCCUCAGACUUGAGAUCUGAAGCUGGAGCAGAGCUGGGGAGGCCUCGAAGAUACAGUCUGCUGUACUCAGCCUUUUCCAUACAUGGGGUGGCUGAGGAGCUAUGAAAAGAGAUUUUGUUCCUUUGUGUGACUUCCAUCCUUUAAGAAGACCUUUUAAAUGUUGAAUCACCAGGGCCCUGCAGAGAAUGUUUUUUGUAGUGUGGCUUUGUUUUAAUACUUAGAAAUUAUGUUUAGAGUGAUCUUUACUUUCUGUGCCAAUAUAUGCGAAGUGUGACUUAGCUGCCUAAGGUGAUAUUCAUGUGAAUUCACCAAGUGGUUUAAACUAGGUGUUUGCCUGAAAUGUGGAAAACACAGGUUCAGUGUCUUCCAGUCCUCCCCUUGGUAAGAGAGACCAAAGCAGCCUGCUGCACACUACUCCAUGGAGGUUUGCUUCACUCUUAGAGUGCUCUCAUUGUGCUUUGCAUGGCAGAAUUCAAGGGAAGUGGAGCAGAGGAGUGACUUGUUCCAAUUAUGAUAGAGUUUGGAAAGGGGGAAACAUAGAGCUGAACUUAAAAACAGGAUACAAAUCUGUUUUCUUGGUUCCUGGAAAUGCUCUUCCAUUGUUGGACAUAAGGGAAAUGUUACCCUUUUUCAUAAUUCUUCCCCAGGAUGUGUGAUUGGCUUCUAAAGUAAAUGCCCUGGCAGCAAACAGAAGAAAACAUUCAAUGAAAAAUAAAACCCCCUUACUUUUUGUUUGGACCAAAUCCACUUUGUUUUUCAGUUAAGUGGCCAAAUUGAAUACAAAAUUUUUAGUACAGCUCUCUUAAAUAUAGGCACAGCUUGUGAUGCAUAGUCUUCUAAUAAGGGUGCUAUUUUAUGGUGCCUCUGAGUUGUUUCUUAGCCUUGUGAAGUGAGACAAAUAGUCCCCAUUUGCCAUGAGAACAAACAGCAGGCAGCUUGUACAGCAGGGCCAGCUGAGUGCUGCUGUGGGGGUUAAAGCAGCCUGAAAAGCUCGUGGGGAGCCCUGUUGAGAAGCAGCUCCUGGCAGCAUCCCUGUGUGGUGGGCAGUGCUGGCAUUUCUGGUUCCUCUCAUCAGUGAGGGAUCCCUCUCCAAGGGUGCAAAUUACAGGGAAUGCUGCAAAAGCUGUUACAGUGGGAAGGAACUGUGUGGCUGCUGAAAGAGUAAAAGGAGUAGGACUGACUCUGUGCAGGAAACAAAUAUCUUUUUGAUGAUGUAUGUGCUCAUCUCCCAGAGCUGCUGGACAGUUCUUAGGUGUACUCAGUACAUAUUGUCUUGAAAUGCCAUUUCCUUUUCAUUCACUCCCCAGUGCAAGCCAUGCUGAAAGAAUAAAACCCAUUAUGCUUGGAAGUCAAACUUAAGUAUCUCUUCUAUUGCUUGCAAUUACAAUCUGCUUUUAAAAAUUGAGGAUUGAACACAUACACUGGUGAGCUGAAAAGUGGGUGGGUCACAAAACAGAACUGAUUGCAAAUCAGGCCCAAACAGAGCAUGGAGUGCAGAAGGGUUGUGCAUACAGCUGUGAAAGUGCCACACAGUGCCAAGGUAGUCAAUCUCAAAUAGAUUUUAGGUGGUGAGGAACACCGUGGGUUAUGUUUUCCAGCACAGACUACAGUGGCUGAAAGCACUUUGGCUUUGUGGAUUUGUGUUUUGGCCAAGCAGGUGAGUGUUACACAGCACUCUGAAAUGCAGUGUGAGCAGCCCCAGGUAGCAACAGUAUGGUUUUGCCAGUCACAGACUGUGCCCAGCCGCUCUGCCUUAUUAAUGUGAGCAUCCUGGAAUGAUGGUCUUAAUUUUUUGGUGUUCUAAGACUUAAUACAAGCACAAUGAGAAGCAAUAGCCACCUAAUUUUAGAUAAAAAUUCACGGGCUGUGGAAACUCCUAAGUAAGCUAGACUUCUCUGACUUACUCAUUUAAGCUGGAGAAGCCAGAGCAGAGAGUGGCACUGACAGUCACAUUUGGUCCUCAGUGAAGAGCCUGUCUUCACUGGAUUCAUUGAUAGAAUCUUUUCUGGGAACUGCUGAAAUUCCUCUGAUAUUUUUCCAUUCUUUACAAGUCGGGUUUAAUGAGCAAUCAAAGAAUUGCCAAAAAGCUGUAUGUUGGGCUUCUUAACAAUCAAGGCUUGAUAUGGUAUGUAGCCAAGCUGGAUUAUAAGGUGACUGCUGUUUAAAAAGCCAAGUAGUACUUUGCUCUCUAAUUAACGGAGUGCUGUGGGUUUUUAAUGCUCUAUUCCUCUUAUGAAAGUUUCUUUUAAGAAGGCUUAAAGUAGAUGUGCUCUCUUUAUGAGUUCACUUGGCCUUUUUGUAAUGAACUUAUUAUGGAGCUUCACACAUCUGUUGAAAAAUGGAGCUUCUUAUAGGCUACUGCAGUGUUUUUUCUGACUUUAAUAGGCCUCGUUUAUCCUAUAAAGAAACAUACAUUUUCUUACCUGAUCAAGUGAGCAAACAAUGAGGGUCAGAUGUGGCAAAGACCCUAACAAAAAGCACAUGUCCAGCCAUCAGGGUGAGGUAAAGUCAUAUCGGGAUUGCUUGAAGUUAUUAAUGGCAGUAAAAUUUAUGCUUCCUCCUGUUUUCCCAAUUAAAUUGAGAAACCUUUUUUUCCUAAGGUGGCUCUGCAGCAGCUGGUUCCAAUACUACUUGUGUGAAUAUUGCCUGGGGUGUCUCCAUUCCUUUAUAGUGAAGGCUGGCUGAAGCACAUUAAGUAACAGUUCAACUACAGGGACCAGUCUGUUGGAAAGCAGCAAUUAUUAAGGGAUUUAUUUUAAUGGUAGUUUUUUAUCAUUUGUGGUGAGUAUGGCCAAAGCUUAAAAAAAAAAGAAAAACCCUCAACAACAAACAAAAAGAACUCUGACACAAAAAAAACCACAAACCAAAAACAUCUCUUAACAUUAAUUUUCAAAAUCCUUAUUAGAAGUGCAGAUAGACCUAAGCAUGUCUGAGUGAUAUGAGGAGAGGAGGGUGCACAAUGUGUCUUAGAACUCAGCACUUAAAUUUAGAUACCUUGAAUGUGGAUUAGGCAGCAAACUUUAAAGAAGAAAUGACUUCUCAUUUUGAAAAAUACAGAACUGAAUGUAGAGACUCAUCACUGUCAGCAAGGACAGGAGUGGAGAGAUGGCAGCAAUCUAAAGAUGAAGGGGCUGAGUUUUUGGAAAUUCUUUGAACUCACGAAUGGAAAAGAUCCCUUGAGCCAGUAUUUCUGUUGUGGAGCUUACAAGAUCUUUACAGAGCUUAACUUGGAUGCCUGAAGCAUGACAGAACACAAACAGCUAGUUCUGGUUUAUUGGAUAAAUCUUAAUAAAGAAGGGGUGAGGCACUUCUGCUGAUCUUCCUGAUGUGUGGUAGCAUCAUCAUGAAGAAGGCCAGGGUGGAAGAGAGGAGCACCUUUCCCAGAGCUGCUGUGAAGGCUGCAGGCAGAGGGGUACCCUCAAAGGACCAUGUGGAACAACUUUGCUGCUGGGGUAGACCUAGAGCUCCUGAGGAUUUUCCAAGGAGUUUCUCCAAUGCUUGUUGCAGUCCAGGAGACCAGCUGUAGAUUCCCCAUGUCUGCAGUUGCUGAGGUGUAUGGGAUAUUGCAACUAAUCAGCUUUCAGUUCCUGAGUGAAGUCAUGGAUUCAAGUAUGAUUGGCUACGGCCGAUCCUAAGGACAAAAAAUUGGUAUGUUUUGCCUCAAAAAAGGACACACAAUUACAGCAGUAUGUUAAUUACCAGUCUUUCUGAGUGGCAGUGGUUACUGAAUGUUUUUCAGUCUGUCUUGCAUGGUGUUCCAGGCAGAGAAAUGGAGCAUGAGGUUCCAGACAUGCAGCUCUGUUUUUUCUUGUGCUGCAACAUUAAAUAACUCAAAUUAGUUUUUAGUCCUUUAGGAUUCCUCACUAAAGUUCUUUUUUUGUUUCCUAGGAAAAAAAAUUGUAACCAGGUUUCAGAUGUGGCAUGUGCUGAGUUCUAUGGGUGAAGGGGAAAAAAUCCCCAAAAAACUAAACCCCAAACCCAACCAUGGCAACACUGAUAUUUUAAAUUAGGCUUAUGGUAUGAAGCCAGUUUUAAAUAACAUAAAGGGGGCACAGGAGGGGUUAUUAGUAUGUAAUUACUAUCAUAAUGUUUUAUUUACAAUGUCUAGUCUCCUUGAGUCUGAGCAGAUUUGAAAAUUCUUUCAGUUUCUCUUGAUAAAAUAAACUGAUAUAGCCAAUAUGAUUUAUAUUUACAUAUGUAAAUCAAACCAAUAUGUGUCUAGAGCACACAUGGACUAACUCAGUCCAACUGUUUCAGAGCUGGCUGUGAGGAAUGAUAUGGGAUAGAGGUAAGUGGAGAUGUCUUUCUAUCAGUUUUUUCCUAAAAUCACUGCUAAUAUGAUACAUUUGAAUAAACUCUUGAUUAAUCUGUUUUCCGACAUUAGGGUGAUACAGACAUAGGUCUGAUAUUCAGUUUGUGGCAUUUCUAAUAAUCUAGAUUUC